AGCGUACACGGUGGAUGCCCUGGCAGUCAGAGGCGAUGAAGGACGUGCUAAUCUGCGAUAAGCGUCGGUAAGGUGAUAUGAACCGUUAUAACCGGCGAUGUCCGAAUGGGGAAACCCAGUGCAAUUCGUUGCACUAUCGUUAACUGAAUACAUAGGUUAACGAGGCGAACCGGGGGAACUGAAACAUCUAAGUACCCCGAGGAAAAGAAAUCAACCGAGAUUCCCCCAGUAGCGGCGAGCGAACGGGGAGCAGCCCAGAGUCUGAAUCAGCUUGUGUGUUAGUGGAACGGUCUGGAAAGUCCGACGGUACAGGGUGAUAGUCCCGUACACCAAAAUGCACAGGUUGUGAACUCGAAGAGUAGGGCGGGACACGUGGUAUCCUGUCUGAAUAUGGGGGGACCAUCCUCCAAGGCUAAAUACUCCUGACUGACCGAUAGUGAACCAGUACCGUGAGGGAAAGGCGAAAAGAACCCCGGCGAGGGGAGUGAAAAAGAACCUGAAACCGUGUACGUACAAGCAGUGGGAGCACCUUCGGGUGUGACUGCGUACCUUUUGUAUAAUGGGUCAGCGACUUAUAUUCUGUAGCAAGGUUAACCGUAUAGGGGAGCCGCAGGGAAACCGAGUCUUAACUGGGCGUUAAGUUGCAGGGUAUAGACCCGAAACCCGGUGAUCUAGCCAUGGGCAGGUUGAAGGUUGGGUAACACUAACUGGAGGACCGAACCGACUAAUGUUGAAAAAUUAGCGGAUGACUUGUGGCUGGGGGUGAAAGGCCAAUCAAACCGGGAGAUAGCUGGUUCUCCCCGAAAGCUAUUUAGGUAGCGCCUCGUGAACUCAUCUUCGGGGGUAGAGCACUGUUUCGGCUAGGGGGUCAUCCCGACUUACCAACCCGAUGCAAACUACGAAUACCGAAGAAUGUUAUCACGGGAGACACACGGCGGGUGCUAACGUCCGUCGUGAAGAGGGAAACAACCCAGACCGCCAGCUAAGGUCCCAAAGUCAUGGUUAAGUGGGAAACGAUGUGGGAAGGCACAGACAGCCAGGAUGUUGGCUUAGAAGCAGCCAUCAUUUAAAGAAAGCGUAAUAGCUCACUGGUCGAGUCGGCCUGCGCGGAAGAUGUAACGGGGCUAAACCAUGCACCGAAGCUGCGGCAGCGACACUAUGUGUUGUUGGGUAGGGGAGCGUUCUGUAAGCCUGCGAAGGUGUGCUGUGAGGCAUGCUGGAGGUAUCAGAAGUGCGAAUGCUGACAUAAGUAACGAUAAAGCGGGUGAAAAGCCCGCUCGCCGGAAGACCAAGGGUUCCUGUCCAACGUUAAUCGGGGCAGGGUGAGUCGACCCCUAAGGCGAGGCCGAAAGGCGUAGUCGAUGGGAAACAGGUUAAUAUUCCUGUACUUGGUGUUACUGCGAAGGGGGGACGGAGAAGGCUAUGUUAGCCGGGCGACGGUUGUCCCGGUUUAAGCAUGUAGGCUGGUUGUCCAGGCAAAUCCGGAUAAUCAAGGCUGAGGUGUGAUGACGAGGCACUACGGUGCUGAAGUAACAAAUGCCCUGCUUCCAGGAAAAGCCUCUAAGCAUCAGGUAACAUCAAAUCGUACCCCAAACCGACACAGGUGGUCAGGUAGAGAAUACCAAGGCGCUUGAGAGAACUCGGGUGAAGGAACUAGGCAAAAUGGUGCCGUAACUUCGGGAGAAGGCACGCUGGUGUGUAGGUGAAGUCCCUGCGGAUGGAGCUGAGACCAGUCGAAGAUACCAGCUGGCUGCAACUGUUUAUUAAAAACACAGCACUGUGCAAACACGAAAGUGGACGUAUACGGUGUGACGCCUGCCCGGUGCCGGAAGGUUAAUUGAUGGGGUUAGCGCAAGCGAAGCUCUUGAUCGAAGCCCCGGUAAACGGCGGCCGUAACUAUAACGGUCCUAAGGUAGCGAAAUUCCUUGUCGGGUAAGUUCCGACCUGCACGAAUGGCGUAAUGAUGGCCAGGCUGUCUCCACCCGAGACUCAGUGAAAUUGAACUCGCUGUGAAGAUGCAGUGUACCCGCGGCAAGACGGAAAGACCCCGUGAACCUUUACUAUAGCUUGACACUGAACAUUGAGCCUUGAUGUGUAGGAUAGGUGGGAGGCUUUGAAGCGUGGACGCCAGUCUGCGUGGAGCCAACCUUGAAAUACCACCCUUUAAUGUUUGAUGUUCUAACGUUGGCCCCUGACCGGGGUUGCGGACAGUGUCUGGUGGGUAGUUUGACUGGGGCGGUCUCCUCCCAAAGCGUAACGGAGGAGCACGAAGGUUAGCUAAUCCUGGUCGGACAUCAGGAGGUUAGUGCAAUGGCAUAAGCUAGCUUGACUGCGAGCGUGACGGCGCGAGCAGGUGCGAAAGCAGGUCAUAGUGAUCCGGUGGUUCUGAAUGGAAGGGCCAUCGCUCAACGGAUAAAAGGUACUCCGG
rnacentral:rRNA from 1 species